rnacentral:rRNA from 1 species
AUUGAACGCUGGCGGCAGGCUUAACACAUGCAAGUCGAGCGGAGAUGAGGUGCUUGCACCUUAUCUUAGCGGCGGACGGGUGAGUAAUGCUUAGGAAUCUGCCUAUUAGUGGGGGACAACAUUCCGAAAGGAAUGCUAAUAACGCAUACGCCCUACGGGGGAAAGCAGGGGAUCUUCGGACCUUGCGAUAAUAGAUGAGCCUAAGUCGGAUUAGCUAGUUGGGGGGGUAAAGGCCUACCAAGGCGACGAUCUGUAGCGGGUCUGAGAGGAUGAUCCGCCACACUGGGACUGAGACACGGCCCAGACUCCUACGGGAGGCAGCAGUGGGGAAUAUUGGACAAUGGGCGGAAGCCUGAUCCAGCCAUGCCGCGUGUGUGAAGAAGGCCUUUUGGUUGUAAAGCACUUUAAGCGAGGAGGAGGCUACCUGGAUUAAUACUCUAGGAUAGUGGACGUUACUCGCAGAAUAAGCACCGGCUAACUCUGUGCCAGCCGCCGCCGUAAUAC